ncrna:Halopiger salifodinae L4-Archaeoglobi ribosomal protein leader
CUGAAGGGCGCGUCCGGGUCAAUUGCGGACUGCAACACCCGAUCUCCCUCAAUGUCCCUCCGAAAAUGGAGGUCGACGAGGGGGAGCGCGUGACCGUCAG